UCUCUCCACUCCCCUUCUGCUCACCCUGCCACCCCUUUCUUUGUCUCUCCCUCACAAUAAACCUCUUUCAGGUGGCACCGCCUUGGCUUAGCAUGUCUUUUGGUGUUAUCUGCUAUCUUAAUACAUCAUUUUGGUGCAGAAACCCGGGAUAGCGGGACCGCCAACAGCCGCUAGAUCCCAGAGGAUUCCAGCAGAUUCCAGCGGAUCCCCGAGAAUGCAGUGGUUAGCAAUUUGGAGCUUCGUUUUGGGUUACUAGCAUAACCAAUUCCUUGAAGAAUCUCAGGGGACUUAAGCUGAUCAUUUCUGACCACUUGAGGAAAAAAGUUCUUCACCCUACUUCUUCUCCCUUUAACAACCCUAUACUAGCAGCUCCUGUUACAGGAUUACCAGUCGCUGCCCACGGAAGAGCCAAUGUCCAUAGAGGAACCUGAUUCAGACGAUUAUCAAGCGGAUCUCAAUGGUGAAAGCCCCGAAAUUGACGAUGCCCCAAGACAGCAGGAAACAGUUUAAGAGACACAACACCCUCGUUCCCUUUUCACCAUCAGCUUCUCCUUCUCUUUUUCUUUGCUUCCUUUUAUAAUAACAAGAAGGGGGGAGGUAUGUUAGUACCAGAACAUUCCAAACCCAGGCACUAACAACGUGACUCACGACCCGCAGGCCGGUUGCCAAGCCAAUGACCACCAUAUCCCAGAACCCACUUGGCUCACCUCCCACCCUUACUUGUGUUACAUCACUU